UUAGUUACCUUCGUAUUAAAAGAAUUGCCACAGAAUCACCAAGUAUACAGUUUACAAGUAACAAAUUACUAAAAAUUACUUCGCCAUCCUAUUUCAUAUAUCUAGUUUAAUUUGGCUAGGCCAAAAACACUGGAUAUUGUCAAAACUGCUUUUUAUGGUAAAGAUCGUCGUCCAAGUCGGCCUUCCAUUUGGCCGCCUGUUUCAUUUCUUCAUGCAUCUGGGGCGUAAUUUUAGAGGCAAAAAAUGCCAAAGGCACUAAAAAAUAAUUAAAUUACCUAAAAGCUAAGAAAAUUUAUAAACACGACUUACAAUUUGCCUGCUGAGCGCUACGACGCAAAAACGCGAUGGUGUCCGCAUCCAGAUUCAAUCUGCGGAUUUCUUCUGGAAGAUCGCUGUCCUCCGGAAUGGUGGAUGAAAUCUCGUUGCUUUGCUGGCUGGCCAUGUUGUUGGAAAUCUUGAAAUUGUAGACUGGAGAUGACUGACUGAAUUCAUUCUCACUAGCACAGACUUAUGAGGCGUCUGUUUAGCGUGUGUGCGUGUACGUCUGUGGCCAGAAAAAGUUCCUGGUGGCACUACGCACAUUUUUUCCGCACGAACUCCACCGUUAUUACAUGCGGGAUAGCGAUACUAUUAGGAACACCAUCUGACCACACACACAGCAUUGCGUG